rnacentral:lncRNA from 1 species
AAUAACCAGGCAUAGUGAUCAAGUUAUUGAUUCACAAGGGUACCGAUAAGUCUCGCCUCGAGUUUUCUUAUUUAUGGCGAAGCAAUAAGAAUUGUGUACAUGAACAAAAGGUACAAUGAUAGUUUAUUCAUGUAUGCGUAUGAUUCAACGUAGAUGUCCAGAUUCCGCUAUUGAUUAUUGACCAGACAGAGUUUCGGGUCAUGUAUGCACAUUAUUGAACUUGCGGGAUCACACGCUUACUGUUCACCAGUUUGUUGAGUACUAAAAAUGUGAGAAUCUUAGGAUAAAAUCACCAAAAAGAUUCUAGGGAGAUCGAAAAAGUUUCGGAGAUAGAACUAAAAGUGUUUCGGAGAAGUUUCGGAAAACCGGUGAAGUUUCCGCAAGAUUGGAAGAUCAUAAGUGCCAUUAGAAGCAGUGGGCAAGUACGCAACGUUGCCUCGCUUAUAUGGACAAACCGAGCAGGAGAUCGGCAUGCAUACUGCUUUCGUACACCUAAUAGACGGAUGAUGGCGGCGGCGGCGACACGGGCUUCACCAUCGUCUUCCAGCCGUUGGGGUCCGGCGAGGGUGGCUUCACCGGCGCCCUCUGGCCCAAGCGCCGGCCGGCUCCCACACCUUGCUCCCUCCUCUCUCGUGGCGUCCACUGCGCCGGCCGGCUACCCCGUGCACCCGCGUCGGCGUCGCCACCCAGUAGCAGCACUGCGACAACGGCCAUCGAUCCAUGCAAUUCAUACACACACCGACACAUAAAUUGGGAUUUGAAACUGGCAGAGCAAAUCAAGUCAUUGUAUAUACUCAUACCUGGAGGAGAACGCGGCGCCGGCGGGUACGUGGCCAGCAGGACCAGGAGGCCGGCGGCAAGGAGGACCGCGUGGACGGCCGUCCGGCGAUGCAUCGGUCGAGCUGUAGGUGGAUCCGAGACCACCACCGGACUCUGUAGGUGGAUCCGAGAUCAGUACAGCUCCGGCCAGUAGCGCGCCACUGAGAGACAGUGCAAGACUCUGGAG